rnacentral:lncRNA from 1 species
CCCAAAACCCCAAGAAAUGCCCCAAAAAUCUCUCAUGGGGACUCCCAAAAAUGCCCCAGGACCCCAGAAUUUUGGGGAACCCCAAAAAUCUCUCAGGUAAGAAUGGACACCAGGUCUACCCCCAUUGAAAUGUACUGGAGGGACACCAGGUCUACCCCCAAAGGGUUCUAUUGGAGAGACACCAGGUCUACCCCCAUUGAAGUCUAUGGAGGGGACAACAGGUCUACCCCUAUUGAUUUCUAUUGGGGGGACACCAGGUCUACCCCCAUAGAUUUCUACUGGGCAAACACCAGGUCUACCCCCAUUGAAGUCUAUGGGGGGGGACACCAGGUCUACCCCCAUUGAUUUCUACUGGGGAGACACCAGGUCUACCCCCAUAGGGUUCUAUUGGGCAAACACCAGGUCUACCCCCAUUGAAAUGUGCUGGAGAGACACCAGGUCUACCUCCAUAGUGUUCUAUUGGAGGGACACCAGGUCUACCCCCACAGGGUUCUAUUGGGCAGACACCAGGUCUACCCAUAUUGAUUUCUACUGGAGAGACAGCAGGUCAACCCCCAUUGAAAUGUGCUGGAGAGACACCAGGUCUACCCCCAUAGAAAUGUAUAGGAGAGACACCAGGUCUACCCCCAUAGGUUUCUAUUGGGCAGACACCAGGUCUACCCCCAUGGAAGUCUAUGGGGGGGACACCAGGUCUACUCCCAUAGGGUUCUAUUGGGGAGACACCAGGUCUACCCCCAUUGAAAUGUAUUGGAGAGACACCAGGUCUACCCCCAUUGAAAUGUAUUGGAGAGACACCAAGUCUACCCCCAUAGGGUUCUAUUGGGCAAACACCGGGUCUACCCCCAUUGAUUUCUACUGGGGAGACACCAGGUCUACCCCCAUAGAGUUCUAUUGGGGAGACACCAGGUCUACCCCCAUUGAAAUGUAUUGGAGAAACACCAGGUCUACCCCCAUAGUGUUCUAUUGGAGGGACACCAGGUCUACCCCCAUAGUGUUCUAUUGGAGGGACACCAGGUCUACCCAUAUUGAGUUCUAUUGGGAGGACACCAGGUCUACCCCCAUAGAGUUCUAUUGGAGGGACAUCAGGUCUACCCCCAUAGAGAUCUAUGGGAUGGACACCAGGUCUACUCCCAUAGAGUUCUAUUGGACGGACACCAGGUCUACCCCCAUAGGGUUCUAUUGGGCAGACACCAGGUCUACCCAUAUUGAUUUCUAUUGGGGGGACACCAGGUCUACCCCCAUUGAUUUCUAUUGGGCAAACACCAGGUCUACCCUCAUUGAUAUCNNNNNNNNNNNNN